rnacentral:ncRNA from 1 species
UAAAAGCCUGGUCCUGACUUUAACAUCAGUUGUAACCCAGCUUACACAUGCAAGUACCCGCAACCCCGUGAGAAUGCCCUCUGUCCCCAACAAGGGGAUGAGGAGCCGGCAUCAGGCACACCCAACAGUAGCCCAAAACGCCUUGCUCAGCCACACCCCCAAGGGAACUCAGCAGUGAUAAGUAUUAAGCCAUAAGCGAAAGCUUGACUUAGCUAGGGUUAAAAGAACCGGUAAAACUCGUGCCAGCCACCGCGGUUAUACGAGAGGUUCGAAUUGACAUUUCACGGCGUAAAGCGCGAUUAGAGAAAUUCAAUACUAAAGCUAAAUAAUUCCCAAGCUGUCAUACGCUACCGGAACACAUGAAACCCAACAACGAAGGUGGCUUUAACAAACCUUGAGCUCGCGACAGUUAAGACACAAACUGGGAUUAGAUACCCCACUAUGCUUAACCUUAAACAAUGGUGAAACCAUACAAAAAUCACCCGCCCGGGGACUACGAGCAUUAGCUUAAAACCCAAAGGACUUGGCGGUGCCUCACACCCGCCUAGAGGAGCCUGUUCUAUAACCGAUAAUCCCCGUUAAACCUCACCACCCCUUGCCAAUUCCGCCUAUAUACCGCCGUCGCCAGUUUACCUUCUGAAAGAACAAAAGUAAGCCAAAAGGGUAUUACCCAGAACGUCAGGUCGAGGUGUAGCGAACGGAGUGGGAAGAAAUGGGCUACAUUUUCUGUCUCAGAACACUACGGAAGAUGCAAUGAAAAACGCAGCUGAAGGCGGAUUUAGCAGUAAAAAGAAAAUAGAGAGUUCUUUUGAAGACGGCUCUGAGGCGCGUACACACCGCCCGUCACUCUCCUCGAAAAACACCAAAUAUAAAUAAUAACCUAAAACAACAAAAGAGGAGGCAAGUCGUAACAUGGUAAGUGUACCGGAAGGUGCACUUGGAAAAAU